rnacentral:rRNA from 1 species
AAGCCUACGGGAGGCAGCAGUGGGGAAUAUUGCACAAUGGGGGGAACCCUGAUGCAGCGACGCCGCGUGAGUGAAGAAGUAUUUCGGUAUGUAAAGCUCUAUCAGCAGGGAAGAAGAUGACGGUACCUGACUAAGAAGCCCCGGCUAACUACGUGCCAGCAGCCGCGGUAAUACGUAGGGAGCAAGCGUUAUCCGGAUUUAUUGGGUGUAAAGGGUGCGUAGACGGGAAUUUAAGUUAGUUGUGAAAUCCCUCGGCUCAACUGAGGAACUGCAACUAAAACUGGAUUUCUUGAGUGCUGGAGAGG